UGAAUUCUUUCCAUGAUAUCCUAGUGGUACUACAAUCCGUGGACAUAUUGAUUAAUGUUCUGAUAUUAUUGUGCUACUGUGUUGCCAUCAGUCGAAUGACUGUAGGUAAGAUGAUAGAACUUCUUGGUGGUAAAGCUGGAGUUUCGUGCGGUAGGUUCCAUUAUGGUAGUGCCUUUGGGGAACCAAGUGGCCAUGCAGAUAGGGUGGAAGCGAUAAGUGAAACUCUCGUGAAACAUGGGUUUAGCUACAGCGGCAAGGACUUCAUAUAUUCAGGUAUCACUGGAUGUCCGCUGCAAGCUUAUAUUUUCAUGGGGCCAAUUUACUACCAAAAAUUAAAACACAUGGUUAGAU